rnacentral:rRNA from 1 species
UACGGGGGAGGCAAGCGUUGUUCGGAAUUACUGGGCGUAAAGGGCUCGUAGGCGGAUCUUUAAGUCAGGGGUGAAAUCCCGAGGCUCAACCUCGGAACUGCCUUUGAUACUGGGGAUCUCGAGUCCGGGAGAGGUGAGUGGAACUGCGAGUGUAGAGGUGAAAUUCGUAGAUAUUCGCAAGAACACCAGUGGCGAAGGCGGCUCACUGGCCCGGAACUGACGCUGAGGUGCGAAAGCGUGGGGAGCAAACAGG